AUUGAACGCUGGCGGAAUGCUUUACACAUGCAAGUCGAACGGCAGCACGGACUUCGGUCUGGUGGCGAGUGGCGAACGGGUGAGUAAUGUAUCGGAACGUGCCCAGUCGUGGGGGAUAACGUAGUGAAAAUUACGCUAAUACCGCAUACGAUCUAUGGAUGAAAGCGGGGGAUCGCAAGACCUCGCGCGAUUGGAGCGGUCGAUAUCAGAUUAGGUAGUUGGUGGGGUAAAGGCGCACCAAGCCAACGAUCUGUAGCUGGUCUGAGAGGACGACCAGCCACACUGGAACUGAGACACGGUCCAGACUCCUACGGGAGGCAGCAGUGGGGAAUUUUGGACAACGGGCGAAAGCCUGAUCCAGCCAUUCCGCGUGCAGGAUGAAGGCCCUCGGGUUGUAAACUGCUUUUGUACAGAACGAAAAGGUUUCUACUAAUACUAGGAGCUCAUGACGGUACUGUAAGAAUAAGCACCGGCUAACUACGUGCCAGCCGCCGCCGUAA
rnacentral:rRNA from 1 species